rnacentral:rRNA from 1 species
UACGAAGGGUGCAAGCGUUACUCGGAAUUACUGGGCGUAAAGCGUGCGUAGGUGGUUUUUUAAGUCCGUUGUGAAAGCCCUGGGCUCAACCUGGGAAUGGCAGUGGAUACUGGAAAGCUAGAGUGCGGUAGAGGGUAGUGGAAUUCCCGGUGUAGCAGUGAAAUGCGUAGAGAUCGGGAGGAACACCAGUGGCGAAGGCGGCUACCUGGACCAGCACUGACACUGAGGCGCGAAAGCGUGGGGAGCAAACAGG